AACUCCGCAAUGCACGAAAGUGUGACGGGGCUACCCCGAGUGCCGUCCGCUGAGGAUGGCUUUCCACGCCGUAAGGAAGCGUGGGAAUAAGGAGAGGGCAAGUCUGGUGUCAGCCGCCGCGGUAAUACCAGCUCUCCGAGUGGUAGGGAUGAUUAUUGGGCUUAAAGCGUUCGUAGCCGGCCUAACAAGUCUUUCGUUAAAUCCAACGAUUCAAUCGCUGGACCGCGGGAGACACUGUCAGGCUAGGAGGCGGGAGAGGCCGACGGUACUCUUGGGGUAAGGGUGAAAUCUUAUAAUCCCAGGAGGACCACCAGUGGCGAAGGCUGUCGGCUAGCACGCGCUCGACGGUGAGGGACGAAAGCUUGGGGAGCGAACCGGAUUAGAUACCCGGGUAGUCCAAGCUGUAAACGAUGCGGGCUAGGUGUUGGGGUGGCUACGUGCCACCUCAGUGCCGCAGGGAAACCGUUAAGCCCGCCGCCUGGGGAGUACGGCCGCAAGGCUGAAACUUAAAGGAAUUGGCGGGGGAGCACCACAAGGCGUGAAGCUUGCGGUUCAAUUGGAGUCAACGCCGGAAACCUUACCGGGGGCGACAGCAGAAUGAUGGCC
rnacentral:rRNA from 1 species